rnacentral:rRNA from 1 species
UUACGGCCACAUCUCGUUGAAACACCGAUUUCCAUAGGAUCACCGAAGUUAAGCAACGUCGAACCUGGUCAGUACCUAGACGGGUGACCGCUUGGGAAAAACAGAUGCAGU